CAGAAAAUGAAUGAAUAAUGAAGGCUGAGGGAUACAAUAGCAGAGAAAACUAUGGAGUAAAAUGAAUUUUUAACGAGGAGCUGCUGCCUUCUCCUGCUCUCAGAGACUAAGUAAGAAGUGGCAGGUAGGGGUAAAGAGGGCAGAGCAAUUGCAGAAGGUAG